UACGGGGGGGGGCAAGCGUUGUUCGGAAUUACUGGGCGUAAAGGGCUCGUAGGUGGCCAACUAAGUCAGACGUGAAAUCCCUCGGCUUAACCGGGGAACUGCGUCUGAUACUGGAUGGCUUGAGUUCGGGAGAGGGAUGCGGAAUUCCCGGUGUAGUGGUGAAAUGCGUAGAUAUCGGGAGGAACACCAGUGGCGAAGGCGACUACCUGGCCUGUUCUUGACGCUGGAGGCGCGA
rnacentral:rRNA from 1 species